AACGAACGCUGGCGGCAGGCCUAACACAUGCAAGUCGAACGCCGUAGCAAUACGGAGUGGCAGACGGGUGAGUAACGCGUGGGAACAUACCCUCCGGUUCGGAAUAACUCAGGGAAACUUGAGCUAAUACCGGGUACGUCCAAGGUUUUAAUCGGCCUUGGAGAAAGAUUUAUCGCUGGAGGAUUGCCCGCGUCUGAUUAGCUUGUUGGUGAGGUAAUGGCUCACCAAGGCGACGAUCAGUAGCUGGUCUGAGAGGAUGAUCAGCCACAUUGGGACUGAGACACGGCCCAAAUUCCUACGGGAGGGCAGCAGUGGGGAAUAUUGGACAAUGGGCGAAAGCCUGAUCCAGCCAUGCCGCGUGAGUGAUGAAGGCCUUAGGGUUGUAAAGCUCUUUUACCCGGG
rnacentral:rRNA from 1 species